rnacentral:snRNA from 1 species
UUGCUUCAGCAGCAGGUGCACUCAAACUGCAGUGAUACAGAGAUUAGCAGGGCCCUUGCACCAAGAUGAUGCUAAGAGCUGACUCAUACACAAGGUACUG